UGUGGUGUUCGUAUUGUUCAGUUUUUAGUUUCCGGUGAAUUGUUUUGUGUACAGUAACAGUUGUUUGUUCUUUUUUGUCGUUUUUUACUCGGUAUAUUCUCCACUCCCCCAAUAUAUGUAACUUGGGUGGGUGGAGUUUUAUUCCCCGAGGGUUUCACCAGCCCAGUAGUUAGCACUUCUGUGUUGACAUGAAUUAUAAUUGAUAUGAUCAUACAUGUAACUGUUCAAUAUACAAAACUACUUUUUGGAAACUAAGGCUUUUCUAUCUCAUUAUAGAU
rnacentral:lncRNA from 1 species